UAGAGGUUCAAAUAAUGAUUUCUUCCUCCAAAGAGGUUUUACUUUUCGUUUUCCAGGCAGAUAGAGUAGAACUGCUCACCUUAAUCCAAUCAGGGACUGAGAUAUAUCAAAGCUGGAUUACAGUUUUGGAGCCUAGACUACAAGAGAAUGCUGACGCAUGGCUCUCUAGGUAUAUCCUCUGUGUGUCCUAGGAGUAUACAAAGGCCUACCAAGUGGUUUGGAGGAUGCUGUUCAAAUUAUUAAUGGCUACACAGGCUCAUGGAAAUGCCUACCCUUCUGACCCAGCCACUAGAGGGAUUGUUGUACCAUGGAGAAGCAGUCCUCCCCCAGUGCUUUGGGAGUAAUUCUGCUCAGAGCAUUGUCUGGAAAGUAUUCAUCUUCUUUUAUGAAGAAGUGAUGGAGGCAGGUAAGAGAGCUCACUUUCCCAGCACGUCUCCUGUUGACUGUGGGCUCUGAGGACGUCUCUGGAGUGUGU
rnacentral:lncRNA from 1 species